CCUACGGGGGGCUGCAGUGAGGAAUAUUGGUCAAUGGACGCAAGUCUGAACCAGCCAUGCCGCGUGCAGGAAGACGGCUCUAUGAGUUGUAAACUGCUUUUGUACGAGGGUAAACGCAGAUACGCGUAUCUGUCUGAAAGUAUCGUACGAAUAAGGAUCGGCUAACUCCGUGCCAGCAGCCGCGGUAAGACGGAGGAUUCAAGCGUUAUCCGGAUUUAUUGGGUUUAAGGGGUGCGUAGGCGGUCGGAUAAGUUAGAGGUGAAAUCCCGAGGCUCAACUUCGGAAUUGCCUCUGAUACUGGUCGGCGAGAGAGUAGUUGAGGUAGGCGGAAUGUAUGGUGUAGCGGUGAAAUGCUUAGAGAUCAUACAGAACACCGAUUGCGAAGGCAGCUUACCAAGCUACUUCUGACGUGGAGGCACGAAAGCGUGGGGAGCAAACAGGAUUAGAUACCCCAGUAGUC
rnacentral:rRNA from 1 species